UUUAGUACUCUACGGAGAUUGCUGUGGGCCUAAGUGGUUUGGUUGAAUCGGGACAGUGGUAUAUUAGAGGAAAAAGAAGGACUGUAAAGUGAUAGGCACUGUCUCAAGUUAUUAAUUGUGUGACUUUGGACGGAGACUUCUAACGACUGUGAUUGCUACUCUCUCUCGUAAGGUGGAAAUCGAGAGCUGGAUUUGCGUACAUGUGACUUUGGUAGAUCGAUAAGCAUAUUGUAAAAUCACUACAAGUUGAAUAUAAGUGGCUCACAUGCAUUUAUAUAUGAUAAAUAUUUUCGGGUAUAAAUCACUGGUAUUGAUGGUGGUGCUGAGCAUAGCACUUCUUGGUCUCCCACUAAUGUUGCCACCGCUUCCUCCUCCUCCAACAAUACUCAUGUUCCUCCCCAUUUUUAUAUUGUCUCUUCUCGUUGUCGAGGCUUUCUUAAAUGUUCCCCAAACAUGAUGAUGAUGGUUCCCUCACUUGGAUAUAGUUUAUAGCGUGGUUUUAAAUUGCGAAUUUUGAGGUUUUUGUAAGCGCAGCUACAAUUUAAAAUUAUGGUAUAUAAUAUUUCUUUUUUAUUUUGGAUGUACACUGAAAAAUAACAUGUAGUUAUUGUAAUAUUUAUUAUUUAUUUAUAUAUUUUAGCAGAUACUUGAAAUAUAAGUAGUUUAUCUUAUAUUAUGUUUCUCUUUUUUUUUUUUCAUUUUGAUUUUUGUUGUAAUUGCAUACUCUUCCUAGAAUUCGCCAUGUAAAAGAAUUAAUAAUCAGCAGGCUGGCUGGCCAGCUAGUAGUCAGCAGACUAGCUAGCCAACAAUCAGUCAGUCGCCAGUCACUCAGUCACCAGGCCAAUAUUGAAUAGAGAACUCCACCGCAAAAGGUUUCCUAAUGUUUACAUUUUUAUUUGGAAAAUUUUGGUUUAAGAUA